GGAAAAAAAAGAUGGGGCAUGCUGAAAGGUGUGACACCUGGCAGCCUUACAAACCAGCAGCAGCCACCUGGCAGCUUCACAAACCAGCAGUUGACACCUAGUACACAGAUGGCAGCACUGCAAGACCUUUGUCAUUACCAGCUCCCGCAGUCCUGCCACGUUUUCAGCCUAGAAGGAGACACUUGGCAGACAGCUGGCGGCAAGUAGCUGCUGUCUUGUCCAUUCCAGAGCUGCAGGGCAGACACAACACAGAAAAUACCACAAACUCUUGCUGUAAACCCUGGUUCUAGAGAGCGAUAGAGAGAGAAAACUCUGCAAGAAAUCAGGGAAAUUCAGGGAAAAUCAGGAAAAAAAGUACUGGAAACUCAGAUGGAAACUUAAACUAAGUUCGAAGAAACUGAAAAUCAAGGUUCAAACUGAAGGAGAGCCCCACUUUUUAAGUUCUCCAAGAGACUGCCAUUUUUACAUGUAAACAGAUUGGUAGAAAGAUAUUACAGAUGCUAAACAUGUAUUUUGUUGCCGAAUGUGUUUAUUCUUGGGAGUUUGAAAAAUGUUGUAUAUAAAGUGCACCUCAAUGUAAAGAGCUUGUCAAUGAAGUAAAUUUUUUUUCUUGCUU